rnacentral:rRNA from 1 species
ACUAGCAGUAAGAGUUUGAUCCUGGCUCAGGACGAACGCUGGCGGCACGCCUAACACAUGCAAGUCGAACGGCCCCUUCGGGGGCAGUGGCGGACGGGUGAGUAACGCGUGGGAACCUGCCCCUUGGUUCGGGACAACCCGGGGAAACCCGGGCUAAUACCGGAUGCGCUCCUUAGGGAGGAAAGAUUUAUCGCCGAGGGAUGGGCCCGCGUCCGAUUAGCUAGUUGGUGGGGUAAUGGCCCACCAAGGCAACGAUCGGUAGCCGGCCUGAGAGGGUGACCGGCCACACUGGGACUGAGACACGGCCCAGACUCCUACGGGAGGCAGCAGUGGGGAAUAUUGCGCAAUGGGCGAAAGCCUGACGCAGCGACGCCGCGUGGGGGAUGACGGCCUUCGGGUUGUAAACCUCGUUCAGUAGGGACGAAGCGCAAGUGACGGUACCUACAGAAGAAGGACCGGCCAACUACGUGCCAGCCGCCGCGGUAAUUC